CAUGACUGCUCCCAGACAAUACAUAUAUGGGUAUUCUACUCCGCCGACGAUUUACCAUGUAGGAUAUAAAUAACAUUUAAAAGAUUUGUUUGUUUGAAAUAACAUAGAGCGGUUCAUCAUGUAUCGGUUAUGCAUUGUGUGUAUAACACAGAAAUUUGUGUAUCCCCUGUCUCACGGUAUCAGUGUGGCUGUUACAACUGGAAUGUAAUUUUUCAUAUUUACUCAGGUUUUACCGAUCACGUGAUUCAGAGUAGCCGAUUCCAUAAAACAGACAAGCUUACUUGAUAAUAACAUGAUACUCCUCUACCGUACACGCGAUCAUUGAAACCUUUGAUCAUGUCGACAAGACUUUCCAGGACCUGUAAACCCUUGCUUCCGGAGAGAGAAGAUAUCGAUGCACUACUGGCACUUCUAGAAUCCGAAGACACGCCGAGAAUAAAACACGCCUUGCAGACAGUGGGAUGUCUGAAGUCAGCUGUCGAGGAGGACUCGCCAAAGGAAAUACUGAAGAUAAUUGUCUGUAGAGAUAAAACAUUUACCUGCUUUUAUGAACUUUAUCAUCAUUUUUGGGAGCAUGGCUUCGACGACAUCGCAGCACAAUUUCUUCGUUAUUUUGAGAUAACAUCUGGAAAAUCCGGGGCAAUAUCUUUAGUCCGCAGAUCCUCUCCAGUUGACAGAGUGCGUCCCCUGAAUAAUAUAUACAGGUGGCAAAGAAUGUUUCAUGAUGGUCAAUUUCAUGAUCCUCUACAAUUUUUCAGGGCACUAUCUGCAAACAUGAAAAUGAAAUGGAAGAACGAAUCAAAUGGGAAAAGAAAGUUGCUUUACGCAGACAACUGUGAAUAUUUGCAGAUUUUAGAAUUAGACACUAUCAUGAGCAAUUACGAUAUAUCAAAAUUCGAUGAAAAACUAUUCCAAAGAAUCCAUUCAUUUUCAAAUCAAACAACUAGUGCGCCUACAUUUGAUGCCCUAUGUUGCGUUAGAAAAUCUUUAACUCGUGCAUAUGCAGCGGAAUUUGCCGCAGCUGAAGAUUUAGCAAACUAUGCAAAGUUCCUCGCGGAAUUCGGCAGUGCCCCCGUGGAAUAUGCCAAUGUGCUAUGGUGGCAGGGGACAGUUUCUUUGGUUUUGAAACAUGUGGAUAGGGGGUAUACACCAAAGUCAGAUUAUGACAGACUAAUGAAAAAUCAUAUUUCCCUUUUAUGUCAAUACUUGUAUUUCAUAUUAGUGUAGUUAAUAAAUUAUGACCCUAAAUUACAUGUAAUCUAUAAAUACUGGUGCUGGUGCACAAAACAUGCUCUGAGCAGGUUCCCCUUUUUUGCUUUGAUUUUCCCUCAUUUGGGCUAAUCCGCACCACCCCCACACCAUCACAGUACCAAACAUGGGGAUUUAGACACUGUGCACAAUCAAGAACCCUAUCUGCCCUUCUCAAAAAUCUACCUCUCAUAUGGGGCCAUCCACCUUCCCUCACAGCUACAGACCUUUUGCUAGACCCUGCAUGUUUUCACCGGAAUUUCUUCAGCAACUGACCACGUGUCUUAGUUUCGUAUUUGCACCCAUCUAUAUGCUAGGAAUCAUGGUGACACCUACAUGUUGUAUAUCAACAUUUUUACUAAGCACUCAGCUACAUUUGACAUGCAUCCUAAAAUUAUUGUAUACAUUUUUACACAUGUAAUAUCACUUCAAAUACAGGGUAAUUCCAUUUUUUGAAAAAGUUGACCGGGCCUAUAGUGCGAAACUGUCCCCUGCUACCUUUAAGAAUUCUGACAUCUCAUGUCAUUGACGUCAACUCCCAUUUUUGACAAAUCUGACUUAUUCUGAGUGAAACUACACCAAUACAUCAUGUCGACCGCCCUAAAUGUGUACGCAAUAAAAUUAUUUAAAAACCCUACA